AUAGGGGUGGGUGUUGAGGGAGUCUGGGCAGUCCGUGGGGAACCCCUUUUCGGUUCGGACUUGGGUAGCGAUCGAGGGAUGGUAUCGGAUAUCGGCACGAGGAAUGACCGACCAGUCCGCCGCGGGAUUUUCGCCUGGAAAACUUUUCCGGCGACUUUCCAGCGAUCGGUUUUGUUGCCUUUUUCCGAGUUUUCUCAGCAGUUCUCGGACAAAAACUGCUGAAUCGUCGAGGAGAAUGGGCUUGCCUUGCGUGGGCUGCCAUUAGUUCUUCGAGGCGUUAGGGUGGCGGCGGUAUAAAAGUGUCGAGUUUUUUCAGCAGUUCUCGGACAAAAAUUGCUGAGUGGCCGAGAAGAAUGGGCGUGUCAUGCGUGGGCUGACAUGGAUUCUUCGAGGCCUAGGGGGUGGCGGUAUAUAACUUGUUCGCAUGAUAUUACCGAGAUGUCCCCACGGGCAUCUUUUCACCUCGUCGCGAAGAGAAUGGGCGUGUCAUGGCAUGGGCUGACAUUAUGAUUCUCCCUAGGCCGCUUUGGGUGGCGGUAUAGUCGUGCUUGCGCCUGACGAAAUACCGAGAUGUCCCCAUGGGCAUCGAUUCCACCCGCCUAGGUUGGAUGGGCGUGCUUCGUUGGAAAGCAUGGAUCCGCCUAGGCUGUCCCGAGUGUGAGCGAGGUGUGAGUGUCGCCCAUGGGCAUCGACACCUUGCGGCUAGGAACUGGAGCGAGACGGGUGGCAAAGAUUUCGAGUAGCACUUCGCCCACUACCGUGGGUUUUUAAACCUUCCGAGUUUUGUUGAUGUUAUUCCGAGAAUUAGCAAACCGUAACGAAGAUGUUCUUAUGCAACCAUCUUUUUGAUGGGAGUCCGGCUGUUCGAUAGCCGGCCAAGGGUGAUGAACGAAAUGUGAACCCUUGUCUCGCCUAGGUUGGAUGGGCGUGCUUCGUUGGAAAGCAUGGAUCCGCCUAGGCUGUCCAGUGUGAGCGAGGUGUGAGUGUCGCCCAUGGGCAUCGACACCUUGCGGCUAGGAACUGGAGCAGACGGGUGGCAAAGAUUUCGAGUAGCACUUCAUACUACCGUGGGUUUUUUAAACCUUCCGAGUUUUGUUGAUGUUAUUCCGAGAAUUAGCAAACCGUAACGAAGAUGUUCUUGGCAACCAUCUUUUGAUGGGAGUCCAUUUUGUUCGAUGCCCGGCCAAGGGGUGAUGAACGAAAUGUGAACCCUUGUCUCGCCCUAGGUUGGAUGGGCGUGCUUCGUUGGAAAGCAUGGAUCCGCCUAGCUGUCCCCGAGUGUGAGCGGGUGUGAGUGUCGCCCAUGGGCAUCGACACCUUGCGGCUAGGAAGCUGGGCAGAGACGGGUGGCAAAGAUUUCGAGUAGCACUUCAUACUACCGUGGGUUUUUUAAACCUUCCGAGAGUUUUGUUGAUGUUAUUCCGAGAAAUUAGCAAACCGUAACGAAGAUGUUCUUGGCAACCAUCUUUUGAUGGGAGUCCGAGCUGUUGCUCGCCGGCCAAGGGUGAUGAACGAAAUGUGAACCCUUGUCUCGCCUAGGUUGGAUGGGCGUGCUUCGUUGGAAAGCAUGGAUCCGCCUAGGCUGUCCCGAAGGUAUCUCGCGCUUGUACGGCUUUGGCUCGGAUUCGUCCGUCUUCUUUCUUCUUGCCGAGUACUUCGGUAGAGUGGAUUGGAACGAUUGAUGAUUUUGAGAUUAAUGAACGUUCGGCGUAUGAGUGGUGAUCGGAUAGCCAGUGUUCGUAGGCUCCAUGCUCGCGCAUCGAACUACCUACCACCUAUCCUUCUCGGUUAAUUCACGGGCGAUGUUACGCUCGAUGAUGAGUUCCGGGGCACUGUGUUUCGUA
rnacentral:misc_RNA from 1 species